rnacentral:rRNA from 1 species
AUUGAACGCUGGCGGCAGGCCUAACACAUGCAAGUCGAGCGAGCGGCGGACGGGUGAGUAAUGUAUGGGGACUGCCCGAUAGAGGGGGAAAACUACUGGAAACGUUAGCUAAUACCGCAUACAAUCGGAUACACAUUAUGGUAUUAGCUAGUGGGGGAGGUAAUGGCUCACCUAGGCGACGAUCCAUAGCUGGUCUGAGAGGAUGAUCAGCCACACUGGGACUGAGACACGGCCCAGACUCCCAGGGAGGCAGCAGUGGGGAAUAUUGCACAAUGGGCGCAAGCCUGAUGCAGCCAUGCCGCGUGUAUGAAGAAGGCCCUAGGGUUGUAAAGUACUUUCAGUCGGGAGGCGUUACCGACAGAAGAAGCACCGGCUAACUCCGUGCCAGCAGCCGCGGUAAUAC